AUUACCACUGACAUACCGCGAUACAAAGUCAAAAACGUGUCCAUCACCCUCCCGAUUUUUAUGAAAAUAUUUUCGGUUUUCGGUAUUGUUUUCGGCAUAUAUUUUCUCCGCAUUUCAUCUAAAGUCUCUUUUUCACUGUUCAACAAGUUAUAUGGAGAAGUGGUUUCUUGCUCUACUUAUGAUGCUGUGAAUGGCCUAAUUCAUCUAUCGGGAUAUUAAUUUUUACCUCAGGAUAAAGAGGUUAUGAAAUUUGGGGAUGGCUUUUUGCAAAUUAUUGGAACAUUAAACUGUUAAUUUUACCAUGUUGACUUUGUUAGUUAUAGUUACAAUAGUUAUCUAAAUGAAAAAUAAAUUUAUACAGACAUG